CCUACGGGAGGCAGCAGUAGGGAAUUUUGCGCAAUGGGCGAAAGCCUGACGCAGCAACGCCGCGUGAUCGAGACGCCCUUCGGGGUGUAAAGAUCUGUCAGUGGGGACGAAACUUGACGGUACCCACAGAGGAAGCACCGGCUAACUCCGUGCCAGCAGCCGCGGUAAUACGGGGGGUGCAAGCGUUGUCCGGAAUCAUUGGGCGUAAAGAGUUCGUAGGCGGCACGUAAAGUCUGGUGUUAAAGGCAGAGGCUCAACUUCUGUACGGCACUGGAUACUUGCGAGCUAGAAUGCGGUAGAGGUAAAGGGAAUUCCUGGUGUAGCGGUGAAAUGCUUAGAUAUCAGGAGGAACAUCGGUGGCGUAAGCGCUUUACUGGGCCGUAAUUGACGCUGAGGAACGAAAGCCAGGGUAGCAAAUGGGAUUAGAUACCCCAGUAGUC
rnacentral:rRNA from 1 species